UACGGAGGGGGCUAGCGUUGUUCGGAAUUACUGGGCGUAAAGCGCGCGUAGGCGGACCUGCAAGUCGGGGGUGAAAGCCCGAGGCUCAACCUCGGAACUGCCUUCGAUACUGCGGGUCUCGAGUCCGGGAGAGGUGAGUGGAAUUCCUAGUGUAGAGGUGAAAUUCGUAGAUAUCGGGAGGAACACCAGUGGCGAAGGCGACUACCUGGCCUGUUCUUGACGCUGAGGCGUGAAAGCUAGGGGAGCAAACGGG
rnacentral:rRNA from 1 species